rnacentral:tRNA from 1 species
AUUUAAAUAGUUUAAUUAAAAUAUUGAUUUGUGGAGUCAAUGAUAUACGUGAGUAUUUUAAAUA